rnacentral:piRNA from 1 species
UGAAGUCUAUUGUGCUUAGGACUACCAAGC